rnacentral:rRNA from 1 species
ACUCAAAGGAAUAGACGGGGGCUCACACAAGCGGUGGAGCAUGUGGAUUAAUUCGAAGCAACGCGAAGAACCUUACCUGGGUUUGACAUGUACGGAUGUCGUCCAUGAAAGUGGAGCCGACUGCCUUCGGGUGAAACGUACACAGGUGCUGCAUGGCUGUCGUCAGCUCGUGCUGUGAAGUGUCGGGUUAAGUCCCUUAACGAGCGAAACCCCUAUCGUUAGUUGCCAUCGGGUCAUGCCGGGAACUCUAGCGAGACCGCCGGCGUCAAGCCGGAGGAGGGCGGGGAUGACGUCAAGUCAUCAUGGCCCUUAUGCCCAGGGUGUCACACGUGCUACAAUGGAACGUACAGAGCGACGCGAGACCGCAAGGUGGAGCAAAUCGCACAAAACGUGCCUCAGUUCAGAUUGAAGUCUGCAACCCGACUUCAUGAAGCUGGAAUCGCUAGUAAUCGCGGAUCAGCCACGCCGCGGUGAAUGUGUUCCUGAGCCUUGUACACACCGCCCGU